rnacentral:miRNA from 1 species
GGCAGGCGGCGGCAGUGGCGGGGGCGGCGGCGGGGGCGGCGGGGGCGGCGGCGGGGGCCC